GGUUAUAAUUCUCAUUAGAGCUAAUUUCAUAAUGCUUGUAAAAUAAGACUUUGGUUGGCUUGCCUGCAAUGUUAGCUCAAUCAUUGUAAUUAAGAUUGACAUCUGCAAACAAUAUAGAUAGGCAUAGUUAUUUAAACUUGUAUAUUAUAUUUCAAUUUAAUUGAAUGUUAUCCCAAUAAUAAUUGUACAAUAUACAAACAAAACAAGCAAG
rnacentral:lncRNA from 1 species